rnacentral:rRNA from 1 species
AGAGUUUGAUCCUGGCUCAGAAUGAACGUUGGCGGCGUGGAUUAGGCAUGCAAGUCGAGCGAUCACCCGCAAGGGUGGGAGCGGCAAACGGGGUAGGAAGGGGUAGGUGACGUACCCUCCGGACGAGGAUAGCCACGGGAAACUGUGGGUAAUACUCGAUAACCUCUCGAGGAAUGGUCUUUUCGAGAGCAAAGGUGAGAUUCCACCGGAGGAGCGGCUUACUCGGCAUUAGCUAGUUGGUGAGGUAAUGGCUCACCAAGGCUACGAUGCCUAGGGGGUGUGAGAGCACGACCCCCACCACUGGGACUGAGAAACUGCCCAGACACCUACGGGUGGCUGCAGUCGAGAAUCUUCGGCAAUGGGCGCAAGCCUGACCGAGCGACGCCGCGUGUGGGAUGAAGGCCCUUGGGUUGUAAACCACUGUCAGAGGGGAUGAAGUGCGGGAGAGCAAUCUCUUCCGUUUGACAUAGCCUCAGAGGAAGCACGGGCUAAGUUCGUGCCAGCAGCCGCGGUAAUACGAACUGUGCGAACGUUAUUCGGAUUCACUGGGCUUAAAGGGUGCGUAGGCGGUCGCUUAAGUAGGGUGUGAAAUCCCCUGGCUCAACCAGGGAACUGCGCCCUAAACUGGGUGGCUCGAGUGAGAUAGGGGUGUGUGGAACUUCCGGUGGAGCGGUGAAAUGUGUUGAUAUCGGAAGGAACGCCGGUGGCGAAAGCGACACACUGGGUCUUGUCUGACGCUGAGGCACGAAAGCCAGGGGAGCAAACGGGAUUAGAUACCCCGGUAGUCCUGGCUGUAAACG